rnacentral:sRNA from 1 species
UACAACUGUACGCACAAACCGAUGUUGAU